rnacentral:lncRNA from 8 species
AGAAGGUAAGACAUUCAAAAUGAUGUCCUCUCCUGAAAUAAAUGUAUGACGACACAAAAUGUUUAACUUCUAAGAAUUCUAUACAGUAAUGUUUAUUCAUAAAAUUAUUAAAUGUGUCAGCUGCUGUGAAGAGAGGGCGCUAUUACUAAUUUACUCAUUAUUUCACUAUACAGGUCGACGUCAUUGUGAAUACAACACAACAAGAUCUCAAGUUAGCCAUCGGGGAAAUCUCAAAAGCUAUAUCACAGAAGGCAGGCAGCGAAAUGCAAAAGGAAAUAGGCAGCUAGGAUUCCAUAAACAGGAGGUUGCCAAGAUCAUGACCGGUGCUGUGGUGGCGGCUGCCCAGAACCUCCAAGAGAUGAGGAUGGAUAUCUAUGUUGUCGUUUAUCCAUCUGACAAGGACACAUUUCAGGCUUUUAAAGAUCAACUAAAAUCUCACCAAGACGCAAUGAAAUAUCCUAGCUCCUUGUCACGACUUCUCCCGAAGUCGGUCCCUCUCCUUGUUCGGGCGGCAUUUGGUGGUCGACGUCACCGGUCUUCUAGCCAUCGCCACUCCACCUUUCAUUUUCCAUUUGUUUUGUCUUGUUUUCCCACACACCUGGUUCACAUUCCCUCAUUGGACUAA